GAUUCUUCUGCCUGGAAUUUCCAACUACAGUAUUCAAAUAUUGUCCUUUUUCCUGAGUGACCACUGAGGACUUCAACCAACACUUAGUCGUAGACAUCAGAUUUCACCCCACCAAGAUCCUUUCUGUUGAAACCCCAGUGCCUUUUCAAGUGGCUUUCUCCUUCAGGUGUAUCUCUUGGAAUUUCUAUAAGCAUCAAGAGUAAGAAAACUAUAAUUUCCAUGCAGAAUAUUUAA
rnacentral:lncRNA from 1 species